GAAUAGGGGUGAGGGGUUUGGCCAUGUUCCGCCUGUCCCUCUAUAAACAAAAGGUUCCUUCCAUCUGACUGUUCACUGCAGCAGCAUCUGUCGUACAUCGUUCACCACCAAAGCAGGUAAACGCAAUCAGAAGGUGUAAAUACUGAAACUAAUUAUUAUUUUCAUUAAUGAUUUAUCUGCUGAUGAUUUUCAGAAUUAAUAAUUUGUUCUGUAAAGUAUCAGAAGAUAGUGAAAUAUACCAAUUAGACCCUGCUGGCAACAGAAAUGAAAAAGAUGGCCGGCCUGUGCUGGAUGGCUCUGGCCUUCUUCCUGUCUGCUGGAGACAGUUUGGCUGCUGUGGACCAGAGCUGGCUCGCAAGUGUCAUAGAAGGCAUCAAGAAUGAGUAUGCACUCGGUGACACCUUCAGUCUGGCUGUGAACGUCCCACAGAACCAAGACAUAAAUGAUCUUCAGCAAGUCUUUCAGGAUGAUCCAGCAGACAAAGUGAAACAAACGGUUUCACAGGGUCAAGUGUACCGGGGCACACGGGUGGUGGCAGCAGCACAAUCACAGGCAGUGUCACGUGUUCUAGAAAACAUACAACCCUUCGUUAAAAGCAGUCAGGGCAAUUUCCUCAUCAUCUACUCUGAAAAAUCCCCAUGUGGCCCGACGUGUACAACAAAUGCAAAUGAUAACAGUACCUCUGGCGAGAUAAACGACAUCAUUCAGAACUGGAGUGGUUAUGCGUUUGUGUUUUCUAGAGUAGUCAAAGUUCCUGCUGCAGACACGUCUCAACUGUCUGAAUCCUUUAAACGACUUGGGAUUUCUAAACUUGGGCUUGAUAACAUAUUCCGUUGUUAUAAACCUAGAGAUGAUCCUUUUCAGUGCAGCAGCUGCUCCUCAGGUGGAGAUGUUACACCUUCAUGUGUUGCAAACGAUGCCCAGUCAAAUCAAGAACAGGGCGUAAGUGAGUCAACAGGCACAGACACAGGCGAAGAAACAGCACCAGGAGAAGAAAUGGGCGCAGGCAUAGGUGGAGGAACAGGCGGACGAGUGAGCAGGUGCAAAGGACGUGGCAGUCGUAAAGGAGGCUGUAAGCGUAGAGGCGGCGGUCGGCGUGGAAGAGGUGGGGUUAAGAGACAAUGCAAACGUACCGGAGGCUGUAAGCGUAGAGGUGGCGGACGGCGUGUAAGAGGUGGGGUUAAGAGACAAUGCAAACGUACCAGAGGCUGUAAGCGUAGAGGUGGCGGUCGGCGUGGUAGAGGUGGCAGGGUUAGGAAAGUGCGGAAGCAAAGAAGAGGAGGAAGAGGUGGAAGAAGGGGUAACCCUCGAGGGGGGCGCAGAGGCAAAGGUAAACGAAGGGGCAAUUUUAGAAGACGCAGCAACCGUAGAGCAGGAGGUAGAAGCAGGAACAGGCGUAGAAGCAGGCGUGGGUGGGGACUGCAAUAAUACAAGGAUAAUAACUUUGUAAGGACUGAGCAGCACCCCAAUGAAGCUUACUGAGACAAAACAGUGCCUUAUGCUUAAUAAAAAUGCACGCAUUUCUUUCCCUUCGUACAGAUUUAAUGACUCCCUUCUCGCCCAUUUGACAUUUUUAAUAAAACACCUGAGUUUUGGCUCUGAUACGGAAAGGAUCCAUUCUUGUUCACAUCCAAUGUUUUUGUUACCUGAUGCUGCGUUCACACAUUCACACUCAACGGCUUAUUUCAAUUUUUGUAUCCAAAUUGAACUGAUGUUCUUGACUUACAUUAUUACACUGAGGCAAAAAAGAAGGGUUCAUGUAAAUUCACCUCAGUAUCUUUUGUGAUUAUAUAAUUGUACUCUGUACUUCUGUAAAGCCUUGCUGUAACAAAACUUCUGAUGUUUGUGUUCUUUCAGAUUAAAGCUUAGCUCAGC
ensembl:lncRNA uncharacterized LOC115012005